AUCUUGAGUCGCCAUUUAAAGAUUAUUAAAGACAUCUAGAGGUACAGUAGAACAGAAAAGAGUCUGGAUGAACGUCGUUCUCGAUUCCUGAGAGAUGGUGGGACGAGGCGAGCAGUGCUGGAGGAUUUGAAGGAACGCAACAGUGCGUAGUGUGAUUAGAGCAGAGAGUUGUAGUUUGGUCGCUGCACAUGUAGGUCAAGAAGACACAACGUUCUCCAGCAGUGUUUUCCCUCACAAUGCUUUCUCCACUUUAUCUGGUCUUUUUGUUCAUGAUCUCAGGAGCUCUUGGGAAUGAAUGGAGUGUGACAUACAGGCCAGAACAUCUCUGUGCCUUAAAAGGAUCUACAGUGUUUUUAAAUGGCUCAUACACACACCCAGCAGAUUUUACAGUGACUAAGGCAUUUUGGGUAAUAGACCCAGUUAAGGGUAAAGAUCCGACUGAUCUGAGUACUGUAUCAGGUUACUCAGACAGAGUGGAGUAUUUAAGAGAUAAACAGAAACACUUCUCCCUCAGACUGAGUGAUGUGAAGAAAACAGAUGAACAUCAAUACUGCAUUAGAGUCCUAGGACAGAAAAGUAAAGAUACAUACCUCUUUUCUUCAGGAGUGAGACUCA